GAAUAUUGCGCAAUGGGCGAAAGCCUGACGCAGCAACGCCGCGUGAGCGAUGAAGGCCUUAGGGUUGUAAAGCUCUGUCAGAUGGGAAGAAUUAUGACGGUACCAUUAGAGGAAGCCCCGGCUAACUCCGUGCCAGCAGCCGCGGUAAUACGGAGGGGGCAAGCGUUGUUCGGAAUUAUUGGGCGUAAAGCGUAUGUAGGCGGCCGAGUAAGUCAGACGUGCAAGCCCAUGGCUCAACCGCGGAAUUGCGUUUGAAACUAUUCGGCUUGAGUUCAGGAGAGGAAAGCGGAAUUCCCAGUGUAGCGGUGAAAUGCAUUGAUAUUGGGAAGAACAUCUGUGGCGAAGGCGGCUUUCUGGUCUGUUACUGACGCUGAGAUACGAAAGCCUGGGGAGCGAACGGGAUUAGAUACCCCGGUAGUCCUGGCCGUAAACGAUGGGCACUAGGUGCAGGAGGUAUCGAUCCCCUCUGUGUCGUAGCUAACGCAUUAAGUGCCCCGCCUGGGGAGUACGGUCGCAAGGCUG
rnacentral:rRNA from 1 species